rnacentral:rRNA from 1 species
UACGUAGGGGGGCAAGCGUUGUCCGGAAUCAUUGGGCGUAAAGCGCGUGUAGGCGGUCCGGUAAGUCCGCUGUAAAAAGUCGGGGGGCUCAACCCUCGGAUGCCGGUGGAUACUGUCGGGCUUGAGGUACGGAAGAGGCGAGUGGAAUUCCUGGUGAGCGGGUGAAAAUGCGCAGAUAUCAGGAGGAACACCAAUUGCGAAGGCAGCUCGCUGGGACGUUACUGACGCUGAGACGCGAAAGCGUGGGGAGCAAACAGG